ACCAGUUUCUAACACACAACAUAACCAGUUUCUAACACACAACAUAACCAGUUUCUAACACACAUGUUCAGUUUCUAACACACAACAUGUUCAGUUUCUACACACACAACAUAACAGUAUCAGUUUCUAACACACAACAUAACAGUAUCAGUUUCGAGCACACAACACAACAUGUUCAGUUUCUAACACACAACAUGAUCAGUUUCUAACACACAACAUAACAGUAUCAGUUUCGAGCACACAACACAACAUGUUCAGUUUCUAACACACAACAUGAUCAGUUUCUAACACACAACAUAACAUGAUCAGUUUCUAACACACAACAUGUUCAGUUUCUAACACACAACAUGUUCAGUUUCUAACACACAACAUGAUCAGUUUCUAACACACAACAUGUUCAGUUUCUAACACACAACAUAACAUGAUCAGUUUCUAACACACAAACAUGAUCAGUUUCUAACACACAACAUGUUCAGUUUCUAACACACAACAUAACAUGAUCAGUUUCUAACACACAAACAUGAUCAGUUUCUAACACACAACAUGUUCAGUUUCUAACACACAACAUAACAUGAUCAGUUUCUAACACACAAACAUGAUCAGUUUCUAACACACAACAUGUUCAGUUUCUAACACACAACAUGAUCAGUUUCUAACACACAACAUAACAGUAUCAGUUUCGAGCACACAACACAACAUGUUCAGUUUCUAACACACAACAUGAUCAGUUUCUAACACACAACAUAACAUGAUCAGUUUCUAACACACAACAUGUUCAGUUUCUAACACACAACAUGUUCAGUUUCUAACACACAACAUGAUCAGUUUCUAACACACACAACAUGUUCAGUUUCUAACACACAACAUAACAUGAUCAGUUUCUAACACACAAACAUGAUCAGUUUCUAACACACAACAUGUUCAGUUUCUAACUAACAACACAACAUGUUCAGUUUCUAACACACAACAUAACAGGAUCAGUUUCUAACACACAACACGUUCAGUUUCUAACACACAACACGUUCAGUUUCUAACACACAACAUAACAGGAUCAGUUUCUAACACACAACAUGUUCAGUUUCUAACACACAACAUAACAUGAUCAGUUUCUAACACACAACAUGUUCAGUUUCUAACUAACAACACAACAUGUUCAGUUUCUAACACACAACAUAAUCAGUUUCUAACACACAACACAACAGGUUCAGUUUCUACCACACAACAUAACAGGUUCAGUUUCUACCACACAACAUAACAGGUUCAGUUUCUACACACAACAUAACAGGUUCAGUUUCUAACACACAACAUAACAGGACCAGUUUCUAACACACAACAUAACAGGAUCAGUUUCUACACACAACAUAACAGGUUCAGUUUCUACACACAACAUAACAGGUUCAGUUUCUACACACAACAUAACAGGUUCAGUUUCUAACACACAACAUAACAGGACCAGUUUCUAACACACAACAUAACAGGAUCAGUUUCUACACACAACAUAACAGGUUCAGUUUCUACACACAACAUAACAGGAUCAGUUUCUACACACACAACAUAACAAGAUCCGUUUCUAACGCACAACAUAACAUGAUCAGCUUCUACACACAACAUAACAGGAUCAGUUUCUAACACACAACAUGAUCAGUUUCUAACACACAACAUAACAUGUUCAGUUUCUACACACAACAUAACAGGAUCAGUUUCUAACACACAACAUAACAGGAUCAGUUUCUAACACACAACAUAACAGGAUCAGUUUCUAACACACAACAUGAUCAGUUUCUAACACACAACAUAACCAGUUUCUAACACACAACAUAACAAGAUCCGUUUCUAACGCACAACAUAACAUGAUCAGCUUCUACACACAACAUAACAGGAUCAGUUUCUAACACACAACAUGAUCAGUUUCUAACACACAACAUAACCAGUUUCUAACACACAACAUAACAUGUUCAGUUUCUACACACAACAUAACAGGAUCAGUUUCUAACACACAACAUAACAGGAUUAGUUUCUAACACACAACAUAACCAGUUUCUAACACACAACAUAACCAGUUUCUAACACACAACAUAACAUGUUCAGUUUCUAGCACACAACAUAACAUGUUCAGUUUCUAGCACACAACUGCUUUUAAACGCUAGUAAAACUAAAUGCAUGCUUUUCAACCCAUCGCUGCCCGCACCCGCCCGCCGGACCAGCAUCACUACUCUGGACGGUUCUGAUUUAGAAUAUGUGGACAACUACAAAUACCUAGGUGUCUGGAUAGACUGUAAACUCUCAUUCCAGGGUCACAUUAAACAUCUCCAAUACAAAAUUAA